rnacentral:rRNA from 1 species
CCCUGGCAGUCAGAGGCGAUGAAGGACGUGCUAAUCUGCGAAAAGCGUCGGUAAGGUGAUAUGAACCGUUAUAACCGGCGAUGUCCGAAUGGGGAAACCCAGUGCAAUUCGUUGCACUAUCGUUAACUGAAUACAUAGGUUAACGAGGCGAACCGGGGGAACUGAAACAUCUAAGUACCCCGAGGAAAAGAAAUCAACCGAGAUUCCCCCAGUAGCGG